AUAUCAGAUUUAAAGCCUUGUAUGAUACUUAUAUUAGCGUAUAACUUUUUUUAUAAUAUCAUAUGUAUAGCUUUAUAACAAUUUAAACGUAUAUGAACCAUUUUGGAUGUAGCCCAUCAAAAUCACUCAACGUCUUCCACGCGAGCGACAUGAAUCGAGCGCACCCAGUCUUCUGGCGAGAUGUUUAGACUUUCGUGUAGUGAUAGAUGCGUAUUCGAGAAACUGUUGACCAAUAACUCUGAUAGAUAAGUAUUCGGCAAACUAUUGCCCAUUACCUAUGUGUAGGUAAGCAUCAUCUGUUAUAAUUUGUAUAACUAAAUCAUGUAUGCAUGUAUGUAUUAUGUAACGUUAGUUAACGUCAGCAGCUGCGUAGUUCAACCUUGGUUCACGUGCUACUCUAUACUAGGAAACUCGGAAAUGUUCAACUUGCUAAAUGGUUGAACGCGUACCGCGUAACUACAGUCACUGUGUAACUACAGUCGUGGCCAAAAGUUUUGAGAAUGACACAAACUUUUGGCCACGACUGUACAACCUUUAACAAGUCGAACAUUUCCCAGUUUCCUUGUUCUGACUAUCACUUGAACGCGGCAAUAAUACCACAAUGACACAAGACUGUCCCAGCCAACACAUGAAACUACUAACGCUCCAUUCCCAGAGAAGAGAUGGCGAAAGUUGAAGAGGAUCAGAACUGGCUUUCAGCAGACUGACAUUUCAAUGGAUGGCUGCACUUUCUCAAACGGGAAUGGUGGUAAUAUGGCUGUUAUCAACAGAGAGAGUUAAUCAGAUGUUGAUAUGGUGGCAUGCAUCUUUGCCCUACAUGUGGAAAACAGUGACUUCACCAUGCAUUUUACUGAUAAGUAGGGGGAUGUGUUCAAGUACAGGCUUCUCACUCUGAGCAGGUCAAAUAGAUAAGAGCCACAUAUGGAGUUUAAACUACCAUACCGGAUUAAAGGAAAUGUUACUGUCUUGAAGGGCCCCAGUGUAAUAUGGAGCCAUGAAGGUGUUGUCUUUUACAUUUCUCUACAAGCAGGUGAAGUUAGACAAAUGCCUAUCAAGCUCGCUCUGAACUUUAUUGGUGAGGAUCCCCUCAACAAAAGGAAAAUAUUCAUACUAGAUUCCCAAACACUAUCCAAAGAAUGCCUGAAUGAUCAAUUGGACUCUCCAGGGAGGAGCAAAACCCUGGGGUAUUUUGUAGAGGAAGGACAAGUAUUUAACGGUGCUCUGAUCUUACCUCGUGCCUACAGUUCCAUCACACCGUGUAGAUUUGUGAUCUCAGCUGAAGAGGUGAACAGUGUGUCAAAAUCAACUGGUGGCAGCGACCAGUAAAAAGCAGUUGCUGUAUUUGAAAGGUAUGCCAGGUUUUCUUUUGAAGAACCUCACCACAUUCAGAUGGUCAACACUGGACGGAAUGGAAGUCUGUUUGCCAUCUCUUUCAACCACGUGCAGUAUGGAAAGACACUUUUCAGGUAGCAUCAUGCUGGUUAGGUGUGAGCUCCCUCCGUGAGGAUGACGUUGUGAACUGUGGAACAGAUCAGAUACUGCUGGUCUUUGGAAGCCAGAGCCCUACUGUGGGUCCAGUGGAUCAAUACCUCAUCACAGAUCUCUGCGGGACAACCUAUUCUGAGAGACGCUGUACUUUUUUGCUCUUCUUUACCAGUCUUAUAACACCCUACUUAUAACCCAGUUCUGAUGUGUGAAGAUUGUUGUAUGUUUCAGCAUGGACAUGAGAGCGGAGAAGGACGGACCAUAUCUGACACAGCUCAAGAGAACUACCUCCUAACUGUCAAAACUCUACAGGACAGACUACAGCGGAGAGUGUGACUUUAUCCAUCCUGACAGAGGCAGGCCAGUGCCAGGCGCUUGCGGUCAUUCAGACCCACAGCCAAGUGUCCCCCCCCACACACAAAGAUCCCAUCUCACUGCUCUCACCCAGUGCCUACGGCCAAGAUAAGCAGGCGAGAUGGUGCCAGUGGAGCCUGUGACACAGACACACACAGACUGGCAGUGACCGCUGUGACUGACCUGACCCCACUGCUGACCUCUGGCAGUGUCAAAUGUGCUGUCAUGCUCCAUUACGUCCACAGACAGGGAUCUUCUGGCUCCCCGACCGCCCUAGUUGAAGUCGCCCAGUACGAAGAUUGUCUCUGCUCCUUGGCGAGGAGGAGGGGGAGACUGAGAAGAAGAGGAGGAAGUGCAGCGGAAUGAGAAAGAUGGAGCCCCCUGAUCCAGGCUCUGCAUAGCGACUCAAGAGGUGCAGGGAGGUGUGGCCGUGGGACAGGGAGAGGAGUAGGAGGAGGUUUAGCCCCCUGGUGGACGUGGAACGCUGUCGUAGGCUGACCCUGAUACUGGCCCAGGUUCAGUUGGAGGGAGAUAUAGCCACCCUCAUAGAGUCACAGUCACUCAUUCAGCUCUGCACUGCAUUGACAUGUAUAGUACUUCCUUUUAUUUAUAUGCUUUCAUGAGUACCAAUGGAUUGUACGGUUACGUUAAUUUGCUUUCUAAUAUUCUGUAAGUGCCCAUUAUUCAAUGAAAUAUUGAGUUUCAGUCCAGGUGAUGUCGCUCUUAUCUCAUUUUGAACUGAGUGCUACCCAAUGCAUUGGUAAGGAGAAGUUUCAAACCAGAGAUCGAUAUGGUUCACCAUGUAUGCUACUGUAGUUGGUAGGUUUACAUAUCUGUUACUGUAAACCUGUCUACCAAUAGUGUGGGUGAAUGCGUGUCUCCUUUGGACAACGUCCUGCUCUUCACACCUCAUCUCUGUGUGAUCGCUACUCCUCUCUCCCACUCUUCUCCCCUCAGACCGGCAGCCUGUGAAACACUCUUUAAUGUGUGCUGCUGUGCAUUGCACGCUGGGAAAGGCCGGCUUCAUACUCUGUUCUGAAGUGGGAAAUGCUGUGUGUGUUCAGAAUGAAAUGUUAGGAGGUAACUGGAUGGCAUAAAGGAGGUAACUGGAAGGUCUAAAUCUCCUUCCCUGGUUGGUAGCUGGAUUUGGCUGCAAAACCUUUUAGUAGCAAUUCUGCCCUUCAUGGUUCAGUUCUGUUCUCUGUAACAUGCUAUAAAAUUAACCCAUUUUGGAUGAUGGUUCAUGAUGACCACAUGUAGUACAGUUACUAUUGUGUCCUUUCUCCAAGGGAAUCAACUGCAGCCCUCUCAUGAGUCAUCAUCCCAAGCUGUUAGAUCAGUUAUUUCUGACUAAAGGUGUCUGUUAUUUACAGAAUACUUAAAUAAAAACG